AUUGAACGCUGGCGGCAUGCUUUACACAUGCAAGUCGAACGGUAACAGGGUGCUUGCACCGCUGACGAGUGGCGAACGGGUGAGUAAUGCGUCGGAACGUGCCGAGUAGUGGGGGAUAACGCAGCGAAAGUUGUGCUAAUACCGCAUACGUACUGAGGUAGAAAGUGGGGGACCUUCGGGCCUCACGCUAUUCGAGCGGCCGACGUCUGAUUAGCUAGUAGGUGAGGUAAGAGCUCACCUAGGCGACGAUCAGUAGCGGGUCUGAGAGGAUGAUCCGCCACACUGGGACUGAGACACGGGCCAGGCUCCUACGGGAGGCAGCAGUGGGGAAUUUUGGACAAUGGGCGAAAGCCUGAUCCAGCCAUGCCGCGUGUCUGAAGAAGGCCUUCGGGUUGUAAAGGACUUUUGUCAGGGAGGAAAUCCCUAGCGUUAAUACCGCUGGGGGAUGACAGUACCUGAAGAAUAAGCACCGGCUAACUACGUGCCAGCAGCCGCGGUAACAC
rnacentral:rRNA from 1 species